rnacentral:rRNA from 1 species
AGUGAACGCUGGCGGUAGGCCUAACACAUGCAAGUCGAACGGCAGCACAGUAAGAGCUUGCUCUUACGGGUGGCGAGUGGCGGACGGGUGAGGAAUACAUCGGAAUCUACUUUUUCGUGGGGGAUAACGUAGGGAAACUUACGCUAAUACCGCAUACGACCUACGGGUGAAAGCAGGGGAUCUUCGGACCUUGCGCGAUUGAAUGAGCCGAUGUCGGUUUAGCGAGUUGGCGGGGUAAAGGCCCACCGAGGCGACGAUCCGUAGCUGGUCUGAGAGGAUGUAGACGGACACAGGGACUGAGACACGACCCUGGGACCGAGGGAAGGCCCAGAUGGCGAAGGUUGGACGAAGUGGGGAAUCUUGCACCAGCCGUGCCGGGUGGAUGAAGCGGGGCUGCGUGGUGGAUGGCGCUUUUGGGGUGAAAGAAACGCAGCGGGUUGAUAGCCCGGUGUUCUGACGGUACCUGAAGAAUAAGCACCGGCUAACUACGUG